ensembl:miRNA Gm22008 predicted gene, 22008
UGUGUGUGUAUGUGUGUGUGUGUGUGCAUGUGUAUGGAUGGACAUCCACUCAUACACACACACACACACACACACACACACACACACACACACAC